rfam:Triticum aestivum genome assembly, contig: Triticum_aestivum_CS42_TGACv1_scaffold_177178_2DS
AUGAUACUCCCUCUGUCCCAAAAUUCUUGUCUUAGAUUUGUCUAGAUGCGGAUGUACCUAAUACUAAAACGUGACUUGAUACAUCCGUAUUUAGAAAAAUCUAAGACAAGAAUUUUGGGACCGAGGGAGUAUGAU